AACUGGGGGAUUAGCUCAGCUGGGAGAGCACCUGCUUUGCAAGCAGGGGGUCGUCGGUUCGAUCCCGUCAUCCUCCACCAACACCUUGUGGUAGCCAAACGCAAGCAUCGAGAGAUCGGUGUUUGCGUUUGGCAUUGCCAAGACGAGUAGUAACUCGGCUGUUCUUUAACAAUAUGGAAUGUAGUAAAGGUGUCGCGGCGCGUUGAUGAGGCGCGCAAUUUAAACGCGACACUGGGUUGUGAUUGUAUCAACCAGUAUUACGAGUGAUCGAAAGACCGCUUGGAAUACGGCACAACGCGAGAACUCAGCCUAUAGCGAGACAUACUCGUUAUAGGGUCAAGCGAAUAAGUGCAUGUGGUGGAUGCCUUGGCGAUCACAGGCGAUGAAGGACGUAGUAGCUUGCGAAAAGCUGCGGGGAGCUGGCAAACGAGCUUUGAUCCGCAGAUGUCCGAAUGGGGAAACCCGGCCCGUAUGGGUCAUCCCUUGCUGAAUACAUAGGCAAGGGAGGCGAACGCAGUGAACUGAAACAUCUAAGUAGCUGCAGGAAAAGAAAUCAACCGAGAUUCCCAAAGUAGUGGCGAGCGAAAUGGGAACAGCCUUGUACUCUUUAGCAGUAUUGUUAGCGGAACGGAAUGGAAAGUCCGGCCAUAGUGGGUGAUAGCCCCGUACGCGAAAACAGUAUUGUGGAACUAGGUGUACGACAAGUAGGGCGGGACACGUGAAAUCCUGUCUGAAGAUGGGGGGACCAUCCUCCAAGGCUAAAUACUCGUGAUCGACCGAUAGUGAACCAGUACCGUGAGGGAAAGGCGAAAAGAACCCCGGGAGGGGAGUGAAAUAGAUCCUGAAACCGCAUGCAUACAAACAGUCGGAGCCUGGAAACGGGUGACGGCGUACCUUUUGUAUAAUGGGUCAGCGACUUACAUUCAGUGGCAAGCUUAACCGAUUAGGGAAGGCGUAGCGAAAGCGAGUCCGAAUAGGGCGUUCAGUCGCUGGGUGUAGACCCGAAACCAAGUGAUCUAUCCAUGGCCAGGUUGAAGGUGCGGUAACACGUACUGGAGGACCGAACCCACUAACGUUGAAAAGUUAGGGGAUGAGCUGUGGAUAGGGGUGAAAGGCUAAACAAACUUGGAAAUAGCUGGUUCUCUCCGAAAACUAUUUAGGUAGUGCCUCGUGUCUCACCUUCGGGGGUAGAGCACUGUCAUGGUUGGGGGGUCUAUUGCUGAUUACCCCGCCAUAGCAAACUCCGAAUACCGAAGAGUGCAAUCACGG
rnacentral:sRNA from 1 species